rnacentral:rRNA from 1 species
CCAGACUCCUACGGGAGGCAGCAGUGGGGAAUAUUGCACAAUGGGGGAAACCCUGAUGCAGCGACGCCGCGUGAGUGAAGAAGUAUUUCGGUAUGUAAAGCUCUAUCAGCAGGAACGAGACAAGACGGUACCUGACUAAGAAGCCCCGGCUAACUACGUGCCAGCAGCCGCGGUAAUACGUAGGGGGCAAGCGUUAUCCGGAAUCACUGGGUGUAAAGGGAGCGUAGACGGCUGUGCAAGCCUGAAGUGAAAGGCGGGGGCCCAACCCCUGGACUGCUUUGGGAACUGUACGGCUGGAGUGCAGGAGAGGUAAGUGGAAUUCCUAGUGUAGCGGUGAAAUGCGUAGAUAUUAGGAGGAACACCAGUGGCGAAGGCGGCUUACUGGACUGUAACUGACGUUGAGGCUCGAAAGCGUGGGGAGCAAACAGGAUUAGAUACCCCAGUA